rnacentral:rRNA from 1 species
CUUAGUGGCGGACGGGUGAGUAUUGCUUAGGAAUCUGCCUAGUAGUGGUGUAUAACUUGGGGAAACCCAAGCUAAUACCGCAUACGACCUACGGGUGAAAGGGGGCUUUUAGCUCUCGCUAUUAGAUGAGCCUAAGUCGGAUUAGCUGGUUGGUGGGGUAAAGGCCUACCAAGGCGACGAUCUGUAGCUGGUCUGAGAGGAUGAUCAGCCACACUGGGACUGAGACACGGCCCAG